UACGUAGGGUGCAAGCGUUAAUCGGAAUUACUGGGCGUAAAGCGUGCGCAGGCGGUUAUGUAAGACAGAUGUGAAAUGCCCGGGCUUAACCUGGGAACUGGCAUUUGUGACUGCAUGGCUAGAGUUUGGCAGAGGGGGGUGAGAAUUCCACGUGUAGCAGUGAAAUGCGUAGAUAUGUGGAGGAACACCGAUGGCGAAGGCAGCCCCCUGGGUCAAGACUGACGCUCAUGCACGAAAGCGUGGGGAGCAAACGAAGGAUUAGAGUACCCC
rnacentral:rRNA from 1 species